AGAGCUGAGCUCACUUAGAAUCUGGAGGGAAGGAAGACUGGAAGGAAGGGGUGAAGGAAGAAGGAAGGGCUGAUGGAGAGAGGGAUGGCAGGCAAAAGGCAGGAGAGAGGACAGGCUCUCACUUGCUAGAUGGCCACCCAAAAGAGCUACCGGGAAGACAGAGACAAGAGGUGCAAACCUGGGACCAGCAGUUUGCCCUGCAUGCCUGUCUCUGGUAUUGUCCAGGACUAGGGAGGCCAGAGGGUGAGUACUGCUCCCGUGGGCCCUCAGGACCUAGUUCCCUACGGCUCCCCAACAGUUAUUGGCUGGGAGGCCCGGCCCCGCCUCCUCUUCCCACACCUGCGAGGGCCAGGGCUUAACAAUUCUAGGAAAUGUCUGCCCUGUACAUUUGAGCCGGGGCCAAAUGCUCCGUCUUCCAUCAAGGAAGUUUGACUGUACACCUCACAAAGAAGAAGGUCCAUGUGGACACACACCUGCCUGUUCCUCUUGCCGGUGUGUGUGAGAGGGGUGGGGGUGGGGGGUGACAGAUACCUGAAGCCCCGAAGUGUCUCCAGGGCCAGGGGAGACCUCCUGACCUCUGUGAUGCCUACAGCAGCCACCCAGGGUCUGCUAGAGGUCUAAACAUUAACUUCUAAUGGGAAGUGGACGGCUUAAGAGCAGGUCAUCAAGGGCCACCUGGCUCCCGGGCUGCCAAGUGUUGGGCUGGCUCCUGGGUUUAGAGUCCAGCGCUGGACGGAGCAGAGAAGCCGGGAACCCAGAAUCUCAGAAGCAGUGAGACCAUCUUAUACACAGGAACUCCCACCCUGGUCUUCCAUCGGGGCUCCCGAGGCCGUUUCUCACCGCACCAGGAAGGACAUCUGGAGGCAGCGCCCAAAGGCCUGGUUCAGGCAGGCUACCCAGAGAACCCCGUGCGUUCUGGGAGUCCCCUGUUUAAAGUCAAAUUCUGACCUUUUGUCGUUUCCCUAUCUGUAAAUGGAAGUGCUCGCACAGUACAGGAUGGGGUACUCUUUAAGGAGCUGUUGCUUGGGGCUUGCUGGCCUCGUCACUUUGUAGCGCAGCAGUCAUCGAUGCCCAUUUCCGCGUUUGGAUUUGGUCCCUAGGGAUCUGAGCUGGAGGUUCAAGGCUCCAGGCAUGUGUUGCUUCCCUCGGCUUCAACACGUACGGGUCUUCCCCUCCCCGCCCCAACGGGCAGAGCCACAUCCCGGCUUCCCUCAUUAUCACACUGACAUUUGUUUUGGCUCUCGCAGCAAUGACCUGUUGAAACGAACAAAGGCUGAGGAGGGAAGACCAAGAAUAGGAUGGCCAGGAGCCCAGCUGUGGAGAGAGCCGCAGGCAGAGGUGUUGGUCCGUGCCCUGACCUCAGGCCGGAGGGACAAAGCUGCCGGGGCAGGGAGGUGGGUGUGAGGUGGAGGUCAGGACAGGGCUCCUCCAGCUGCGGGGGCAGGGAGGAGGGAGGCUUGCAUCUGGAUGCCAUCUGGAUCAGAGCAAACACCCAGGGGCCACUCAGGGAAACGCUUGAGAGCAAAUCAAACCCUGCCUGAAAUCACCACCAAGCCCUUGAAUCGAAUGUCUGAAUGUCUGAGGAGGAGGAAUGUGUGGGGGUGGGGAACCACAGCUGGGAAGAGGACAGGGAGGGGAAGCCUAGGGCCCUCCCCAACUCUGUAGACACACCCCUCAGGAGGGGGUGAAGAACAGGGGAGGGGGUGUCCCAAACAUGUAGAGAGUCUGCUUUGCCAAAGAAUUUUGGGUAUCUGAACCCUUUGUCAGACGCUGGCCCCUUUAGGGCUGCUGGUCUUCAGGUCAAUGGCUGUUCACCCUGACAGAACACCUGUGGUGUGAUAAUCCCAGAGACUCAUGUGGUCCAACCCGUGUGGGUAGUCCGGAGUCUGACAGACUGGGUUUGAUUCCUUAUUUUGUCCAAAAGGGGCAUUCCCGAAGGCCAGCUUGCUUGGACCACCCAUUCUUGUAUCUUUGAACUGUAAUCUUGCAGCCUCUUGGAGCCCCUGGAAGCACUCAUGGCCAGUGUCAAACUUGGGGCAAGGCAAUGGCUUGUAGGAGACCCUCAAAUCUUUGUGGUCUGGGGACCAUACCUUCUUGGCCUAUAGCAAGCAGUUACUGACCUAGCCCUUGCUUUUAACACCUCAAGAGAGGAGACAGGACAUACUCACCCCAAGGUCACCAGAGACCUGCAGAAUCCAGACAUACUGACUUUCCCAUCACCUCCCCACAGUCCAAGCCAGAUAUAUGUGUGAAGGGGUCUGUGGAUACCUGAAGAGGCCAGAGACGUCCAGCCCCUUCGAGCUGAAACUACAGAUGGUUGUGAACAACUUGAUGUGGAACUUGGGUCCUGUGCAAAAGAAGCAAGCACUCUGACCCGCUGACUUGGCCUUUCUGAGCCUCCAUGGGCCCAGCCGGACCCGCACCUGCUGAGCUAUGUGUUACCUGCCACAUAAGGCCUGGAAGCCUGGGAAGUCUGAGAGUGAGCAGGCUGCCUCACAGGAGGCCUGGUGAGUUCCAUUUGCUUCUAGAAUUGCAGAGGAACAUGGCCCAGGUCAGCCUUCCCUAAGCAAUCUCUACAAAAAGACAAAGUAGAACCAGGAACACAGAGAAGAUGAAGACCGACCAAGAGGAGAUGGUCCAGGGACCAGGAGAGGUCAGAUGAGUACAGACCGUCUACCUAGGGCAAAACUUGUUCCUGAACUGUAAGUCACUUCCCUUGCUUGUGCCUCGGCUCCUCAUCUGGAAAAUGGGAUCAUACCAUCACACACCUCAGAAGGCUACUGUAAAGUUUGAAACACAUCGUUACCGAGAAAAGGCUUUGUGCUUCAAACUACAAAGCGCUCCACAGAUGUUAGCUGCUACUGUUUUCAUAAAGCGAGAGUCACCGAGAUACCUUUAAAUACACGGAAAAUUAUGAUCAGCAACUCCAGGGAGAAUGAAAGGUAUGCAAAGGAAAUAAAAAGAAGGAGCCUGGCUACCGGC
rnacentral:lncRNA from 1 species